GGCUGAACAUUUUGAAGUUUCAGUGUACCUGAAAAGCAAGAAGAGAGAGAGAGACUGGUUUUAACAGAGACUACUUCAACCCUUCACCUUUUCCGGAAUCGAUAAUGUUCACUUGUUCCCACUAAGAAGAGGGAUGGCCUUUGCCACCUCUUGAACUCAGGCUGCCUUAUGACUUGGUUUGGCCAGUAGAAUAUGAGAGAAGUGGUGGAGAGCAAGUUGUGAACCUGAACCUCCAGGGCCCACAUGCACUUCUAUUCUCUUUUGCUCUACUGUCUUUUUCAUGAACAAAGGACAGGCCAGGAUGCUAGAGUAUGAGACAUGGGGUCAGAGUCAAGGCCAUCAACUGUCCCAAAUAGGCUGAAACACAUGAGAAAAUUCAGUUCUCCUGGCUGACUCAGUUCACAAUAAUUGCAUGAAUAGUGAACUUGAAACAACAAAAUCAUUUUCUCCAGCUAUAGAAUUAUGCAUAAUAAUAAAUGGUUAUUUUAAGCCAUUAAAUUUGGGUAUAGUUUGUUAUCCAGCACUACUUAACUGACAUAAAAGAUUGAAUGGAAAAAAUGUUUUUAAAAAGUGAAGAUAAUGAGAACAAGUGAUAAAUAAUAGGAUCAACAUUUUACUGCCAUCUUAAAAGUUGUUUAGAGUUGGUCAUCUGAGCACAUUACACAUAAAAUAAAGUGAACCAACAUUUAUUUAUAAUCGCAAAAAUAAGUUAUAGAUCAUGGAACUUUGGAAUCAGAAUUUGCUGAUCAUUUAUUUGAAUAAUAGAAUAAGUUUUUGUUUUUACUUAUUUUUAUUUUAAUCAGCAGUAUGUAAACAAACAGGAGAUGCCUCCAAAAAAGGGAAGACCUUGUGGUAGAUUGUUUUCUAGACAAGACUCAGGUGACAUUUCUUAUGUGCGGGUUACAGACAAGGCUAAAGCAAUAAUAGAUUUGUGCCAGUUUCCCAUUGUAGGCUUAUAAGGUUUAACAGAAACUAAGAGUUAUUUACUGUUAUGGCUUGUAUCUGGAUGUCCCCCAAAGCCUCAUGCACUCAUAGAUGGGGCUUUUGGGGGGUUGCUGAAUCAUGGGUGUGUGAUACUGGAAUUAAGGGUGUGUCAUAUCUAAUUUGGUUUAGCAUAGAUCUGAGUGUGGAUAAUGGAAGCCCCACACUGGGUGUGGAUAGCACCACCCCAAAAGCUUAGAUGAGAUAAAGGGGAAAUGGAGGCUUGCUGCUGCUGUUGAUUGCUGCUUGCUGGAUACUGCCUGCCUUGCCAUGGACUGUUUCCCCUCUGUGAUGCCCUCUGCCAUGCCACCCUGCUUUGGAGCCAGUUGACUAGGAACUGAAACCUCUACAGUGUGAGCUGAAAUAAACAUUUCCUCCUUUACCUUUGGGUAUUGAGUAUUUUGUCUUAGCAACAAGAAAAGUAACUAAAACAGUUUUUGGUACCAGGAGUGGAGUCAUUACCAUGACUGAAUCUGACCAUGUGGCUCAGGAGCCUUUGGAACUGGCUUUUGGGCAGAGUUUGGAAAGGUUGGGAGAUGCUAGAUGAAGAAGUAGCCCUGGAAUACUAUAAGCUGAACUUGAUGGGAGAAUCUACUCAAACUCAGAAAAUCAGAAUUCUGAUAGAAGUGCAUCUGGUAAAAACCAAGCUCAGGAAGUUUCAGUUAGGAACAAGGACUGCAUUGGCUGUUGGACUCUAGACCAUGUAUGUUAUUCUUUGGCAGAAAAUUUGUCUGCAUUUUUCUUGUGUCAGAGACUUUGCCUGAGACUGAGAUUAAGGGUGGUGAACUAAUUAAUUUUGUGGAAGAAAUUUUAAGGCAGUCUAAUUUUGGGGCAGUAGCGUGUCUACUGUUGGGAGCUUUAAGCCAGAUUCACGUUGAAAUUCAAGUACAAAUAGCCCAGUAGAAUAAUUUUAAAAGUUAUGAAUUUUGCCAGAAAGAAGUUUUCAGUAAACUUGUUGCCUGCAAAGAUGGAACAGAGGAGAAUAUGAUUGCUGAAAAGGUUAGCAAUAGAAAACCAAGAAUAUCAGAAGAGGACAAUGGAAAGAAUGGCCUGAAGGUAUCACAAGAACCAGUAGAACUCCACACUUUGCAGCCUCAAAAUUGGAAAGGUGAAAGACUUUGCUUUGAAAAGCAAAGCUGAGGACCAUGUUCCAGAAUUGUGGUGGCCUAAGGAAGUUGUUCCUCAGGAUUUGGUUCAUAGUGCUCAUCAGCCCAGGCUCUUGCUCCCUAUAGCCAAGGGAGAAGAAAGCUUGGCUAUUGCUUCAGCUGGCAGCAGACUUCAUCAUCAUCCAUAUGGUGCUGGUUUUAGAUGCAUGCAGAAUGCAAGAGUUGUGGGACCACCCAGAUUUCAGAAGAAAACCUGGCAGGCCAGGCAGUAUGCUUCUUGAGAGAACAGUGUGUGAAUGAAGUGUGUGAGUAUGAAGCCAAAGAGGCUAUGAAGACCCAAGAAGAUUAGAGAAGCCAGGAACAUAGAUUGUCUGAGGAAAGCUGCAAGGAGUGAGCAAAGUCAGCUCAAGAGAAUCUAUGAGAGCUACAAUUAUCCACAAUGCCACCGAGGAAGAGCCACCCAAGCCCUUUGGAGUUCACAACUUGCCACAGGCUGCCACAGAUGCUGGACAUGAAUAUAUGGGAUUUAGUAUUUGCCCUGAUGGAUUUGAUCUUGCUUUGUUUCCAUUCCUUUUUAUCCCCCCUAUUUGUACCUUUCUGAAUGGAUAUAUUUAUCUUGUGCCAUUGUAUGCUGGAAAUGUUUAACUUUCUUUUCUUUUGUACAGCAACUAUUAGCCAAGAGUUUGCCUUAAUUCUCAGAGGAGACUUUUGACUUGGACUUUUCAGUAAUGCUGAAACUUCCAGGAUUUUGGCAACUCUUAGAGAUGGACUAAGUGCUUUUUGCACAAAAAGAUGUGCAUAAGUCUUUUGGGAGCCAGGGGAAGAAUAUAAUGGCUUAUAUCUAGAUGUCCCCCUGAAGCUCAAAGGUGGAGCUUUUUGGAGAUAGCUGGAUCCUGGGUGUGUGAUACUGGAAUUAAAGUGUGUGAUAACUAAAUUGGCUUAGCAUAGAUCUGGGUGUGGACAAUGGAGGCCUCACCCUGAGCAUGGAAGGCACUACCCAAAAGGCUUGUAGCCUGAAUGAGAUGAAAGGGAAAGGGAAGCUUGCUGCUUGCUGCCUCCUUCCUGCUUUGCCAUGGACUAUUUCUUCUCUGUGAUGUCCCUCUGCCAUGCUGCCCUCCUUUGAGACCAGGUGACUACAGACUGAAACCUCUACAAAGUGUAAGCUGAAAUAAACCUUUCCUCUUUUACUUUUGGGUGUUGGGUACUUUGUCUCAACAACAAGAACAGUAACUAAAAUACUGGCCUAACUAUAAAGUCAUUCCAAGUAGUGGGGAUUGAGUUCAGGGGGCAGCCAAGAAACUACUAAUUUUCAUUUUAAAGAAAAUGUCUCCCAAGAACAUGAACACCUAACAUUUAUCUUCACAGAGCCAUUGGCAAACCACAAAGAAAAGAGCUUUGAGGUCAGCAGCCAGUGGCAGUAGGCGCUUAUCAUUGCUGACAUCCCAGAUGUGCUGAUCCACCCCUCAGUGGAGGCAUACCAAUAUUUGGCUUCUUGAUUCCAGAUCAGUCCAGCUGCCUCUUCUUCAUCCUGCACUGUAUACUACUAGUCAAGAGAAGUGCAGAAGAAAGGAGACCCUUCUGACCAUUUCCAAAUUCUGGAUUCCAGACAGUCCCUCUCUAGUUGCAAUGACCCUCUCCUACUUCCCUACCAAAAAGGUUGCUGUUAUAGCAGGAUGAGUUUAAGAAAUAGAAGCAAAAUAAAUGAACAAAUAAGCACAAAAUAAACUUCAUCUACCGUUUCAUAUUGUAAAAUUAAUUGACUCCUAACAGCAAAGUUAUGGGCAGAGGGAUAAGACUAAAUUGCACUAUGGUGAUACAAGGUGGAAAUAGUUAAUAAAUUGUUAAAACAAUAAGGAGAAAUAAUUUCUUGGAAUGUGGGAGUCAAAGCCUGUAAGAAUGUAACAUAUAGUAGGAGUUUCUAGAAAAUGGAUACCAUGAAUGUAUCUCUAGCCACCAGCCAUGGAAUGAGCCUUUGCCUUAUUGCCUUCUGUGUUAGAUUAAGUUGCAAAUAUAUUUGGAAACCCAGUGGAAUUAUUUUUAAGUUUUUUUGCAAUGUUCUUUCAUAGGGGAAAUAACGUAGAAUUGAAUAUUCCUACAACACAAAUGGUUCAACUCCCAAGGCCACCAGCUUAGCAAAACAAUCUCUGCUGGGACUGAUUUUUCUGCCUGGGGUGUAGUUCAACAGAAUUAUUUUUAAACAGAAAAACUUCCAAUUCAAAAGUCACUGUUUAAAUGAAUAAGUAGAUAGUUGAGGAUUCAUUGAUAUGCACUUUGAUAUGACAGGAAAUGGAAUUGGGUUUGAGAAGACAUCUCUCUGGUAGGAGAAGAAUUGUUUUGAAGAAUAGAUUUCAGUAAGGAGAAAAAUCCUCAGGAAAAAUAAUCUCAUCUUCUGAGAGCAAAUGUACAGGGAAUCGUCUUAGUUUUGUAAACUGCUUGUCUUUACUUUUUUUCUUGACAGAUACAGAUAAAGAUAGACUGCUUUGAAGGAUGACUUAUAAUUUAGGGGUUUAGAACCCUUAACAUUUGACCCAACUUUGAAAUUCUACAAUAUUUUUCCUUCACUUAGAACACAUUAUUCUCAAAAUGUAACAUGUUCUCCAUUUAUGAAAAGUAAUACUUGAAACCACUCUAUCAGUUAGGUUUAAUCAGAGAAGCAGAGUCACUGGGGUUAUAUAUAUUCACAUUUAUAUGGAUUUGUUACAGGGAUUUGACCUAUAGAGCUCAUGUGCAGUCUCUGUUAAAUCUGUUUUUUUUGCAUCUAAUCUGGAGCUGGAGUCUUCAGGACAGACACGUGCAAAAUUCAGGCAGGUGCAGAACUGGAGUUCUUUGCCAUGUGCUGAGUUCAUGACUGGCCCAGGAAUUAGAGAAGAUGGUGAAUGAUCCUGUGGAAAGUGGAACAAUUGCAGAACCAGCUGCUGUCCCAAGGCAUCCUGAACCAAGAGGUAAAUGACAAGCUGACUUUGCUGGAGUCAAGAGACUUCCAAAUGUGAUACAAGCAGAAGCCUGAUAAGCCUUUGUGCACCGGUGCUUUCUUUUUUGGGAUGCUGACCCAAGACCAUGAAGAAGGCUGUUAAGAAGCAGCCCAAGUGCAAGGCCAUGUGGAGGAAGAGAUGCAGCCCUGUCAGUCUUUUCAGACCAGAUGAGUGCAGCACCGGCUAACUCAACUGCUGAGGGCAGCCACCUGCGUGAGUGCAGGUGAGAUCAGCAGGCAAACAAGCCAGCCCACCCACAAGAUUAUGAAAGUGAAUGAAUCCUUGUUGUUGUAAAUUACUAAGUGUAGGGUUUUAUUUUAAUGCAAUAGAUAACUGGAACACAUCUCGUAGGUUGUCACAUGCAAUAUCUAAUUUCUGAUGGGAUAUGUACAUAUAAGAUAACUAAAUAAAUAUAUAUAUUUAACUUUGAACAGGAAUCUAAUAAAAGACAGAAGUAUAUACAUAUAUACAUUGUAUAUGCAAGUCUGUAAUUUGUCUUCAGUCUUUUCUUUUUUAAUUUGACAAUGUAUCUCUUGGGGAUUUUUUCUUGUCAACAUAAAGAACACUGCCUCAUUCUUUGUAAUUAUCUAGUAUCCUAUUAAGUGGGCGUUCUAUAAUUUAUGUAGCCAUUCCCCUGCCUCUGGGUUUUACAGUGCUUCUCAUUUUAAAAAAAUUAUACAUCAUUCUGUACUGAAUAUAUUUAUACACAUAUUUCAUUGCACAUUUCUGAAUGUAACUGUAAUAUAAUUUCCCAGAAGUAAAAUUCUAAGUGUAAGGUAUAUACACACUUUAUUUUGUGAUAGAUUUUAUUUAUCAUUUUGAUAUCCAAUGAUGUUGCAGAAAUUUAUACUAACAUGAAGAGUAUAUCAGAUUGCCUGGUUCCUUUAAUCAAUGGUUAAUAAUACUAUAAAUUAUUAAAUAUUUGGAUAAUUUCCAAUCUGUCUUAAAAAGAUGCCUCAAGUUUGUUUUAAUGAGUCUUUACUUAUUAAGGAUUAUUUUGAACAAUUUUUAUAUGUCUAUGAAC